rnacentral:rRNA from 1 species
UACGUAGGGGGCAAGCGUUGUCCGGAUUUAUUGGGCGUAAAGAGCGUGUAGGCGGCCAGGUAGGUCCGUUGUGAAAACUCGAGGCUCAACCUCGAGACGCCGAUGGAAACCCCCGGGCUAGAGUCCGGAAGAGGAGAGUGGAAUUCCUGGUGUAGCGGUGAAAUGCGCAGAUAUCAGGAAGAACACCCGUGGCUAAGGCGGCUCUCUAGUACGGUACUGACGCUGAGACGCGAAAGCGUGGGGAGCGAACAGG